rnacentral:rRNA from 1 species
UACGUAGGGGGCUAGCGUUGUCCGGAUUCAUUGGGCGUAAAGAGCUCGUAGGCGGCUCAGUAAGUCGGGUGUGAAACCUCCAGGCUCAACCUGGAGACGCCACCCGAUACUGCUGUGGCUAGAGUCCAGUAGGGGAGCGUGGAAUUCCUGGUGUAGCGGUGAAAUGCGCAGAUAUCAGGAGGAACACCAGCGGCGAAGGCGAGUCCCUGGACAACACCUGACACUGAGGCACGAAAGCCGGGGGAGCAAACAGG